UGAAAAUGUUGAGUGGCUAGUAACAGGGUUGCCAACUCUCACGCAUCUGGCGUGACACUCACGCUUUCAGCAUCAAUCUCACGCUCUCACGCACACGCUAGUGAUGGCCGCCUGACACCGAUGCUCCGACACAAGCUUCGAACUCGAAGCAGCAUUUUUCUUGAACUACUGCUUCGGAGCUUGCUUUGGUGCGGAAAAACACACGUGACCGAUGACGUCCGAAGCAGCAACUGCUUCGGUUCUCUGAGUGAAUCACGUGACUGGUUCAGACCAGUCGAUACUGCUUCGCAUCGCGAGAAGCUUCAUGACGCGAUUUUUUGUUGCACGCACGCUUCAGCAGCUUUUUAGGCGCGUAAUAGGACUAUAUAGACACCCAAAAUGAUGCACAAGAUGUGGGUUUGUUGUAUUAGGAGUUUGCAUAGUUGUUAUUAUCACUGCAUUGUUUGAUCAUCAUCAUGGAGCCAGCUAGGAAGAGAACCUGUUCUCCAAUGUGGGAACAUUUUUAUCUGAUCAGUCCUAAUAAGGUGCUUUAUUAUACCUUGGUUAUCCUACUGCACCUGGCUUAUUUAUUUGUGGCUGGUUUAUUUACAUCAUUCACACAAACCCUAGUUACACUCAUACAGACAUUAUAUUGCUAUCUACAAUUUCACCACUAGAUGUCACUGAAACGAAGCUUUGAAUGAAUGAACCCAUUUUCAAAACAAUUGAUGAAGUGGUUCAAUACUGAUUCAUUGCUUCAUUUGGACAUCACUAGCACACGCAGGAAAUGUCACGCCAAAAUCCAUUCUUCUCCCCUUUCAAUCCGUUACUUUCUGUUGAUGACUAGAUCACAGCGUAUUAAUGACAGGAGAGGAGUUUAAGGCCCACAGCUGUUACAUCUCCCUACAACGUUCUCGCUGCAGUAUUCUCUGAUCGUUGAUUGGCUGAAAACCUUGCACCUGAUACGUCAGUUGCGUGUGAAAAGUUCAGAGAGAGUUCGGAGCAUAGGUUCGGAGUCGGAGUCGGCACGUGUUAAAGUUUGGAAGACAAUCAAGUAGAUGGCACUUAUGGAACAGCAGCGGUUUCCUUGGGUACCUUUGUACUUAAAGCAGCGCUGCGCUUAUAAACUCUACUCAGAGCAUCGCGAACAGUGAGCUUGCUGUGCCUGGGGUACAACGGGGCUAAAGGCGCACCGGGGUAAAAAGCGCAUUUGACUUUAUUCUCCUUUAAACCACUAGAUGGCACAAAGAUUCACCUCAACAUUUUUCUUAACCAUGUUUGACUAUACACAUGGAUAUUUGGCUGAUUCUUGACAUGAUCACGGACAGCAAUGCAAAGUUGAUUCUGUGCUAAUUGGAUCUAUUUAAUGUUUUUUCAAUUUUGAAGAUUUAUGUAGCUAAAAUUAUUGACCAUGUUUUGAAACAAAGGUCUUGUUAAUGUUUUUCAGGGUUGUUCAAGGUAAUUGUUUUUCAAUGCAAAAAUAAGUUUUAAUAAGCACGUAUAAUUCGCAAAUGCUUCAUGGGAGUGUGAUAUUGCAACUGAGCUUGUUUGUGUGGUUCUUAUGCUGUGUUCAUUGCUGUCAUAAUUACCAUAAUUAAAGCUCUGUAUGCUUUUGAAUCGCUCUUGUGGUACUUUGACGUCAUACACCGACCAGUCUGCACAGCGCGCUUCAAGUCAAACACACCUUAAAUCUCUAGUGGUCAGGUGGUACAGUGGCCACAUGGUAAUCAUUACUCAGAAAAUCACAUUGUAAUUACAAGUUCAACAAGCAUGUGAAGGCUUUUUACAGUUCAGAAUCAUUACAGUAAUUAUGAAGUGCCGUGAAUGCACCUAUAUUUCCAUGGUAAUUAUGAAUUCUGAUUGGUGGAUGCAAGGAGGACAUUUUAUAGGAUUAUUGUUGCCUUCAAGUGCACCUAGGAAAAUCAUACUUCCCAGUCGAGCGCUCGUUAUUAGGACAUGACGCACAUUUAAGUUGCAAACAAAACUCGUAAUAGUCUAACAAACCAAACUAAAUAAUUAUAUCGUAAACAAUAAACCGGAAUGUUUCAAAUAGACAUGUCCUUUCCAACAUAACUACUCAGCUACUCGUGUAUCAGAAUUCCCACUUGUAAAUACAACUUUGCUUGGUCAU